UGCAAGUCGAACGCUUCUUUUUCCACCGGAGCUUGCUCCACCGGAAAAAGAGGAGUGGCGAACGGGUGAGUAACACGUGGGUAACCUGCCCAUCAGAAGGGGAUAACACUUGGAAACAGGUGCUAAUACCGUAUAACAAUCGAAACCGCAUGGUUUUGAUUUGAAAGGCGCUUUCGGGUGUCGCUGAUGGAUGGACCCGCGGUGCAUUAGCUAGUUGGUGAGGUAACGGCUCACCAAGGCGACGAUGCAUAGCCGACCUGAGAGGGUGAUCGGCCACAUUGGGACUGAGACACGGCCCAAACUCCUACGGGAGGCAGCAGUAGGGAAUCUUCGGCAAUGGACGAAAGUCUGACCGAGCAACGCCGCGUGAGUGAAGAAGGUUUUCGGAUCGUAAAACUCUGUUGUUAGAGAAGAACAAGGAUGAGAGUAACUGUUCAUCCCUUGACGGUAUCUAACCAGAAAGCCACGGCUAACUACGUGCCAGCAGCCGCGGUAAUACGUAGGUGGCAAGCGUUGUCCGGAUUUAUUGGGCGUAAAGCGAGCGCAGGCGGUUUCUUAAGUCUGAUGUGAAAGCCCCCGGCUCAACCGGGGAGGGUCAUUGGAAACUGGGAGACUUGAGUGCAGAAGAGGAGAGUGGAAUUCCAUGUGUAGCGGUGAAAUGCGUAGAUAUAUGGAGGAACACCAGUGGCGAAGGCGGCUCUCUGGUCUGUAACUGACGCUGAGGCUCGAAAGCGUGGGGAGCAAACAGGAUUAGAUACCCUGGUAGUCCACGCCGUAAACGAUGAGUGCUAAGUGUUGGAGGGUUUCCGCCCUUCAGUGCUGCAGCUAACGCAUUAAGCACUCCGCCUGGGGAGUACGACCGCAAGGUUGAAACUCAAAGGAAUUGACGGGGGCCCGCACAAGCGGUGGAGCAUGUGGUUUAAUUCGAAGCAACGCGAAGAACCUUAC
rnacentral:rRNA from 1 species